CCCAAAAAACGACAGUCUCAGUUCGGAUUGAAGGCUGAAAUUCGCCUUCAUGAAGCCGGAAUUGCUAGUAAUGGCAGGUCAGCAUACUGCCGUGAAUACGUUCCCGGGCCUUGUACACACCGCCCGUCACACCAUGAGAGUUGGGGAUACCCGAAGCCUGUGAGCUAACAGUAAUGAAGCAGCAGUCGAAGGUAGAAUCAAUGAUUGGGGUGAAGUCGUAACAAGGUAUC
rnacentral:rRNA from 1 species